rnacentral:rRNA from 1 species
AGUUCGGAUUGAAGGCUGAAAUUCGCCUUCAUGAAGCUGGAAUUGCUAGUAAUGGCAGGUCAGCAUACUGCCGUGAAUACGUUCCCGGGCCUUGUACACACCGCCCGUCAAACCAUGAGAGUUGGCAACACCCGAAGUCGGUAGUCUAACCGCAAGGAGGACGCCGCCGAAGGUGGGGUUGAUGAUUAGGGUUAAGUCGUAACAAGGUACC